rfam:Dipodomys ordii contig_8269, whole genome shotgun sequence.
GGUGCUGUGGCUCAACUGGUAGAGCAUUAGCCUUGAGCUAAAGAUCUGAGGGAUAGCACCC